AUGUCGUCUGAGUCGGAGCCCAAGACCUCGGAACCGGGGGUGUGGGUGUUCAAGAACGGGGUGAUGCGGCUGGUGGAGAACCCCAGGAGCGAGCAGACGUCGACGGUGCGUCGGAAGGCGCUGAUGCACACGCCAAGCGGCAAGGUGGUGAGUUCCUACUCGGCGCUGGAGUCGGAGCUGAGGGCGCUGGGGUGGGAGCGCUACUACGAGGACCCGGCGCUGCUGCAGUUCCACAAGCGCGGCAGCCUCGACCUCAUCUCCCUCCCCAGUGACUUCUCCCACUUCGCCUCCGUCCACAUGUACGACAUCGUCAUCAAGAACCGAGACUCCUUUCGCGUGGUCGAUUUCUAG
rnacentral:rRNA from 1 species